rnacentral:rRNA from 1 species
GAUGUGGAGUUGCCCAGACAACCAGGAUGUUGGCUUAGAAGCAGCCAUCAUUGAAAGAGUGCGUAAUAGCUCACUGGUCGAGUGACUCUGCGCCGAAAAUGUACCGGGGCUAAACGUAUCACCGAAGCUAUGGCAAUCCCGUAAGGGAUUGGGUAGGGGAGCGUUCCAAGGACAGCGAAGCUAGAUCGUGAGGACUAGUGGAGUGCUUGGAAGUGAGAAUGCCGGUAUGAGUAGCGAAAAGAUAGGUGAGAAUCCUAUCCGUCGAAAGCCCAAGGUUUCCUGAGGAAGGCUCGUCCGCUCAGGGUUAGU